rnacentral:tRNA from 1 species
GCCCUUGUAGCUCAGUUGGUAGAGCACCUGAUUUGUAAUCAGGGGGUCGCGGGUUCGAACCCUGCCAGGGGCACCA